AGGAACUAGUGAUGGUAAGUUCUAGAAAAAAGAUUGCAAGCAUUUGCAUAAAGGGGGAUAGAUUAAUUGAAGGGAAAGACAGGGAAAACGAUAACCUAGAAACCAAAUCUAGUGCUGGAUUAAAUAACAAAAACAGGACUACUAAAGAAAGUAAUACUGGCAGAGAGAUGCAUGAAGAAAGUAAAACUGGCAGAGUGAUGCAUGGGUGGAGAAGUAAUGAACGCAUGCGUGAUAAUUCUGAGUAUGACGUCGGAAAUAAGCACUCAAAAGAUUCAGUUAAUAAGGAUAGAUAUGCGGAAACAAAUAGGCCAAAAUAUGAAAGGAAAAUACAAAAAAAGAACCAGAUUGCAGAUGAUGAAAGUCCUAACAAGUAUCCUGCUGAAAGGAAGCAUGUCAAAGAUAGUCAUGAUAGGGGGAAAAGGAAAAAGUGGUCAAGCAAUGAUUCUAAAGAAGUAGCAGAAAAAAAGAAUCAUAUAGAUUCAGCUGAUAAGCAUAGGCAUACAGAGGAUAGUAGAGGAAAAUAUGAAAGAGAAAUCAAAGAAAAAUAUCGAAAUGGAGAUGAUAAAACUCAAGACAGGAAUGCUGCAAGGAAAAAAGAUAUCAUGAAACGUCAUAACUCAGGGAAUUAUGAGAUAAAAGAGAGGAGGGAAAAAAUGAGGUCACAUUUUGAAGAAUCAACAAAAAAGAGGAGAAGGUCUAGAAGCCAAGAGCGUGUGGAUAGAAGACGAAGGUCACAGUCUUUUUCACCAAGGGCACAGAAGCAUUCUUCUUAUAACGAAGAGCAUAAUGAGUUGUCUGUGCUUUCUCAGAAAGAUACUUCAGGAAAAAAGCAUUCUGACAUUGAAAGAAGUAGAGUAUCAACUAAUGAUUCAAAUGAUGACCAUCAUCGACAUGGUGGGUCUACAAGUAGACUUGGCGGCUAUUCACCUAGGAAGAGGAAAAGUGAGGCUGCUGUUAAGACUCCUUCCCCAUCUAAGAAUUCCAUGGAGAAGAAAAGAGUUGGAUGGGAUCUUCCCCCUGUAGGGACAGAUAAUCCCGCUUCAGCUUUUAUUUCUUCUAGUUUUCAAUUAUCAAAUCACACCGUGUUAUCCAACAUGCGGGAAAACGAUAACCUAGAAACCAAAUCUAGUGCUGGAUUAAAUAACAAAAACAGGACUACUAAAGAAAGUAAUACUGGCAGAGAGAUGCAUGAAGAAAGUAAAACUGGCAGAGUGAUGCAUGGGUGGAGAAGUAAUGAACGCAUGCGUGAUAAUUCUGAGUAUGACGUCGGAAAUAAGCACUCAAAAGAUUCAGUUAAUAAGGAUAGAUAUGCGGAAACAAAUAGGCCAAAAUAUGAAAGGAAAAUACAAAAAAAGAACCAGAUUGCAGAUGA
rnacentral:lncRNA from 1 species